rnacentral:ncRNA from 2 species
ACCAUAUUUAGUCUCUCGAACCAUUUCUCCUAAAUCCUUAUAAAAGGGCAGGGAGGAUGGUCAAUGGGUAUUUCGAGAAAUCGAAAUGCCUCCCGUGCUCGGAAAGGUGAGAUUAAUUUUUUUGUAA